ACGUAGGGGGCAAGCGUUAUCCGGAAUUAUUGGGCGUAAAGCGUGCGCAGGUGGUUGUUUAAGCGUGAGGUGAAAGGCAUUAACUCAACUAUUGUAUGCCUUGCAAACUGUAUGCCUUGAGUGCAGGAGAGGAAAGUGGAAUUCCUAGUGUAGCGGUGAAAUGCGUAGAUAUUAGGAGGAACACCAGUGGCGAAGGCGACUUUCUGGACUGUAACUGACACUGAGGCACGAAAGCGUGGGGAGCAAACAG
rnacentral:rRNA from 1 species